AGUGAACGCUGGCGGUAGGCCUAACACAUGCAAGUCGAACGGCAGCACAGUAAGAGCUUGCUCUUACGGGUGGCGAGUGGCGGACGGGUGAGGAAUACAUCGGAAUCUACUUUUUCGUGGGGGAUAACGUAGGGAAACUUACGCUAAUACCGCAUACGACCUACGGGUGAAAGCAGGGGAUCUUCGGACCUUGCGCGAUUGAAUGAGCCGAUGUCGGAUUAGCUAGUUGGCGGGGUAAAGGCCCACCAAGGCGACGAUGCGUAGCUGGUCUGAGAGGAUGAUCGGCCACACUGGAACUGAGACACGGUCCAGACUCCUACGGGAGGCAGCAGUGGGGAAUAUUGGACAAUGGGCGCAAGCCUGACCCAGCAAUGCCGCGUGAGUGAAGAAGGCCUUCGGGUUGUAAAGCCCUUUUGUUGGGAAAGAAAAGCAGCAGGUGAAUAUAUCGAUGUUCUGACGGUACCCAAUGAGUAAGCACCGGCUAACUUCGUG
rnacentral:rRNA from 1 species